rnacentral:rRNA from 1 species
UAGGGAAUCUUCCACAAUGGACGCAAGUCUGAUGGAGCAACGCCGCGUGAGUGAAGAAGGUUUUCGGACCGUAAAGCUCUGUUGUUGGUGAAGAAGGAUAGAGGUAGUAACUGGCCUUUAUUUGACGGUAAUCAACCAGAAAGUCACGGCUAACUACGUGCCAGCAGCCGCGGUAAUACGUAGGUGGCAAGCGUUGUCCGGAUUUAUUGGGCGUAAAGCGAGCGCAGGCGGAAGAAUAAGUCUGAUGUGAAAGCCCUCGGCUUAACCGAGGAAUUGCAUCGGAAACUGUUUUCUUGAGUGCAGAAGAGGAGAGUAGAACUCCAUGUGUAGCGGUGGAAUGCGUAGAUAUAUGGAAGAAUACCAGUGGCGAAGGCGGCUCUCUGGUCUGCAACUGACGCUGAGGCUCGAAAGCAUGGGUAGCGAACAGGAUUAGAUACCCUGGUAGUCCAUGCCGUAAACGAUGAGUGCUAAGUGUUGGGAGGCUUCCGCCUCUCAGUGCUGCAGCUAACGCAUUAAGCACUCCGCCUGG